UGGGGAAUAUUGGACAAUGGGCGCAAGCCUGAUCCAGCCAUGCCGCGUGAGUGACGAAGGCCUUAGGGUUGUAAAGCUCUUUUGGCGGGGACGAUAAUGACGGUACCCGCAGAAUAAGCCCCGGCUAGCUUCGUGCCAGCAGCCGCGGUAAUACGAAGGGGGCUAGCGUUGUUCGGAAUUACUGGGCGUAAAGCGCACGUAGGCGGAUGUGCCAGUCAGGGGUGAAAUCCCGAGGCUCAACCUCGGAACUGCCUCCGAUACAGCACGUCUCGAGUCCGGAAGAGGUGAGUGGAAUUCCUAGUGUAGAGGUGAAAUUCGUAGAUAUUAGGAAGAACACCAGUGGCGAAGGCGGCUCACUGGUCCGGUACUGACGCUGAGGUGCGAAAGCGUGGGGAGCAAACAGGAUUAGAUACCCCAGUAGUCCCUGAGCGGGCUGGCAAGGCGCAU
rnacentral:rRNA from 1 species